rnacentral:rRNA from 1 species
GACGAACGCUGGCGGCGUGCUUAACACAUGCAAGUCGAACGGAAAGGCCCCUUUGGGGGUCCUCGAGUGGCGAACGGGUGAGUAACACGUGAGUAACCUGCCCUUGACUUCGGGAUAACUUCAGGAAACUGGGGCUAAUACCGGAUAGGAAUCCUUGCUGCAUGGUGGGGGUUGGAAAGCUUCGGCGGUUUUGGAUGGACUCGCGGCUUAUCAGCUUGUUGGUGGGGUAGUGGCUUACCAAGGCUUUGACGGGUAGCCGGCCUGAGAGGGCGACCGGCCACAUUGGGACCGAGAGACGGCCCAGACUCCUAAGGGAGGCAGAAGUGGGGAAGAUUGCACAAUGGGCAGAAGCCUGAUGCAGCAACGCCGCGUGCGGGAUGACGGCCUUCGGGUUGUAAACCGCUUUCAGCAGGGGCGAAGCUUGUGGUGACGGUACCUGCAGAAGAAGCACCGGCUAACUACGUG